rnacentral:rRNA from 1 species
AGUGAACGCUGGCGGCGUGCCUAAUACAUGCAAGUCGAACGGAGUGGCGCACGGGUGAGUAAUAUAUAGCUAAUCUGCCCCUUGCUGGAGGACAACAGUUAGAAAUGACUGCUAAUACUCCAUAGCAAGGGAUGAGACUAUAUCGUAUCAGCUAGUCGGUGGGGUAACGGCCGACCGAGGCUAUGACGCGUAACUGGUCUGAGAGGAUGAUCAGUCACAUUGUAACUGAGACACGGGCCAAAAGCAUUCGGGAGGCAGCAGUAGGGAAUAAUGCGCAAGGGGGGAAACCCUGACGGGGCAUCGGCGCGUGGAGGAUGACACGUGUCGGAGCGGAAACUCCUUUUGUUAGGGAAGCGGUACCUAACGAAGAAGCACCGGCUAACUCCGUGCCAGCAGCCGCGGUAAUAC